AAAAUCCGUCGACUUUUAAAAUCGUGAGGGUUCAAGUCC
rnacentral:tRNA from 2 species